UGGACGGUGGCGGAGGUUUUGAUGCUCUGGCUGUCGAUCAGGCAGGCGCUGGGCUCGCUGGUGCGGCCUUCGGCCUGGCUUAC
rnacentral:tRNA from 1 species